rnacentral:misc_RNA from 1 species
GGCACUGAAGACGGUGACAGAACCUGCAGGGAUAGUGAAGUUGGAGGUGAGUUUUCGGUCCAUGAUGGUGGCUUGGCUGGUGAAGAAGGUUGCGAGUUGGGUAAAGGAAAUGUACAGAGCAAUUGUGGAUGCCCAAAUUGGGAGGAUUCUAAUUAGGGACUUGAAUUCUUCUACUUGUGUUACCGUGCAGAGUUUCCAUCGAUUUUCUGUGCUGGCUUCUGGGUCAGUC